GAGGAAGGUGGGGAUGACGUCAAGUCAUCAUGGCCCUUACGAGUAGGGCUACACACGUGCUACAAUGGCGUAUACAAAGAGAAGCGACCUCGCGAGAGCAAGCGGAACUCAUAAAGUACGUCGUAGUCCGGAUUGGAGUCUGCAACUCGACUCCAUGAAGUCGGAAUCGCUAGUAAUCGUAGAUCAGAAUGCUACGGUGAAUACGUUCCCGGGCCUUGUACACACCGCCCGUCACACCAUGGGAGUGGGUUGCAAAAGAAGUAGGUAGCUUAACCUUCGGGAGGGCGCUUACCACUUUGUGAUUCAUGACUGGGGUGAAGUCGUAACAAGGUAACCGUAGGGGAACCUGCGGUUGGAUCACCUCCUUA
rnacentral:rRNA from 1 species